UUGGGUGUAGCUCAGUGGCAGAGCACUUGCCUGGUAUGUACAAUUUCCUGGGUUUAACUCCCAGGACUGAAA
rnacentral:tRNA from 1 species